UUUUUGGAAAAUAAAAGCAUGUAGCAAUAGGUUAUCUUGGCAUACAGUAGAAGAUUUUCUAUAACUUUUGUUACCUAUGCCAAUUAAAUGGUACAACUGUAAGAAACAGAACAGUGGAGGAAUGUGAAUGGGGUAGAAAGAGAGCCCACCAGAUGGAAUUUGACUCAAACAAAAAAGGGUGCCACACUGACAGCCCUGGAGUCUAAAGUCUUCUAUUUAUCCAAAGAAAGGAACAGCACGGGUACCGAAAGCACAGGCUUCCUUACAUUGCCUCUCCAAACAUGCCUUAUUUUUGACCUCGAGCAGCGACCACCGAAAGGAAGACUGGAUGCUGUGCUCACUGAGAACUCAGCCUUCCUGCCAACAAGUACACAAUUGAGA